rnacentral:rRNA from 1 species
AUUGAACGCUGGCGGCAGGCUUAACACAUGCAAGUCGAGCGGGGGAAGGUAGCUUGCUACCGGACCUAGCGGCGGACGGGUGAGUAAUGCUUAGGAAUCUGCCUAUUAGUGGGGGACAACAUCUCGAAAGGGAUGCUAAUACCGCAUACGUCCUACGGGAGAAAGCAGGGGAUCUUCGGACCUUGCGCUAAUAGAUGAGCCUAAGUCGGAUUAGCUAGUUGGUGGGGUAAAGGCCUACCAAGGCGACGAUCUGUAGCGGGUCUGAGAGGAUGAUCCGCCACACUGGGACUGGGACACGGCCCAGACUCCUACUGGAGGCAGCAGUGGGGAAUAUUGGACAAUGGGGGGAACCCUGAUCCAGCCAUGCCGCGUGUGUGAAGAAGGCCUUAUGGUUGUAAAGCACUUUAAGCGAGGAGGAGGCUACUCUAGUUAAUACCUAGGGAUAGUGGACGUUACUCGCAGGAUAAGCACCGGCUAACUCUGUGCCAGCCGCCGCGGUAA